AGAGUUUGAUCAUGGCUCAGGAUGAACGCUGGCGGCGUGCUUAACACAUGCAAGUCGAACGAAGAAACCAAGGAGUGCUUGCACACUGUGGAUUCUUAGUGGCGGACGGGUGAGUAACGCGUGGGGAACCUGCCUUAUAAAGGGGGAUAACAGGGAGAAAUGCCUGCUAAUACCGCAUAAGCUUAGGAGAGCGCAUGCUCUGAUAAGGAAAGGCGAAAGCCGAUAUAAGAUGGCCCCGCGUCUGAUUAGCUAGUUGGAGAGGUAACGGCUCACCAAGGCGACGAUCAGUAGCCGGCUUGAGAGAGUGGACGGCCACAUUGGGACUGAGACACGGCCCAAACUCCUACGGGAGGCAGCAGUGGGGAAUAUUGCACAAUGGGGGAAACCCUGAUGCAGCAACGCCGCGUGAAGGAAGAAGUAUUUCGGUAUGUAAACUUCUAUCAGCAAGGAAGAAAGAAGA
rnacentral:rRNA from 1 species